GAAUGUGGCUGGGCCAGGGAGAACAGGCAAGUUGUUUGCACCUGUGUUCCCCAUGAAAGGUGGACCCAGGGUUGGAGCCACCCUGGGUUCAUAUAAUGGCCAGCUAGGGAAGAAUGAAUAGCUCUUAGACCUUGGCUGCUUUCUGAGGAGGGGUGUUAUAUGGCAAGUGAUACCCUUCACCAACAGGGGGGAUGGAGAGAUGGAGAGAUCUUGUGUUCUCAGGAAAGUGUUCUUAAAGAGCAGCCAGGUCUGUUUUGUCUGUGUCCCUAAGGAUAGUUUCCCAGGGCAUUUACUAAAAAUUCCUUAAAAACGUGAAAGUUCACUCUCCUGAAGUUCAAAGUCCGAGCUCUGCUUUUUGCUAUGCCUGUAUUCCUCAAGAUAAUGGACUCAACCAGGACAUGAUCCACAGCCCAGACUGCUUCUGAGCUCCUCUGAAUUGGUCAAACAUAAUGAUAUAUCCAGGAUGCUGUAUUCAAGGAUUUGAGUCUUUGGUACAUUACUUUGAUGCAGAUCACGUCCAAGAAGGAAUAAAAACCUAAAUUAAAAG